rnacentral:rRNA from 1 species
CCUACGGGAGGCAGCAGUGAGGAAUAUUGGUCAAUGGACGAGAGUCUGAACCAGCCAAGUAGCGUGAAGGAUGACUGCCCUAUGGGUUGUAAACUUCUUUUAUAUGGGAAUAAAACGUUCCACGUGUGGGAUUUUGUAUGUACCAUAUGAAUAAGGAUCGGCUAACUCCGUGCCAGCAGCCGCGGUAAUACGGAGGAUCCGAGCGUUAUCCGGAUUUAUUGGGUUUAAAGGGAGCGUAGGUGGAUUGUUAAGUCAGUUGUGAAAGUUUGCGGCUCAACCGUAAAAUUGCAGUUGAAACUGGCAGUCUUGAGUACAGUAGAGGUGGGCGGAAUUCGUGGUGUAGCGGUGAAAUGCUUAGAUAUCACGAAGAACUCCGAUUGCGAAGGCAGUUCACUGGACUGCAACUGACACUGAGGCUCGAAAGUGAGGGUAUCAAACAGGAUUAGAUACCCCAGUAGUC